UUAAAAUCAAUUUUUUUUCCAUUGUUUUAUAUACUUAUCAAUAAAUCUAGAUAAUGAUGAGACACAUCAAUAUAAUACUUAGUUUUGAGCGUACAAUAUCAAAUAAUGUAGUUAUCAACCUCCUACUCACAGUAUUUUCACCU